rnacentral:rRNA from 1 species
UACGUAGGGUGCAGGCGUUAAUCGGAAUUACUGGGCGUAAAGCGUGCGCAGGCGGUCUGUUAAGAGAGAUGUGAAAUCCCCGGGCUUAACCUGGGAACUGCGUUUCUAACUGGCAGGCUUGAGUGUGGCAGAGGGGGGUGGAAUUCCACGUGUAGCAGUGAAAUGCGUAGAGAUGUGGAGGAACACCGAUGGCGAAGGCAGCCCCCUGGGCUAACACUGACGCUCAUGCACGAAAGCGUGGGGAGCAAACAGA